rnacentral:rRNA from 1 species
GUCUAUGGCCAUGCCACCCUGAACACGCCCGAUCUCGUCUGAUCUCGGAAGCUAAGCAGUGUUGGGCCUGAUUAGUACUAGUACUUAGUACUAGGAAGACUAGGUGCUGUAAGCA